CAUGACUGUACACCAAGAGCCAAGAAGAGUCAUACUAGUGGAUAUUUUCUUUGCUGGGACACGGUUGAGCUGAACCCUCUCGACGUCAACUUUUAUCGGCUGGAUUCUAGCAUCUAACGUUACGAUUGCCUCUGUUGGGUUUGCUUGAUCAACCAUCGUUUCGGGGACUCUGAUGACAGUGAAGAGCCAGAAAAUGGUGACUUUGCAUCUCUGAGGUACCUUCCAACUCGCCUGGUAUAUCAGUUGAAGCCUCAAGCCCAAACCUAUUGCACU